rnacentral:rRNA from 1 species
CAGCAGCCGCGGUAAUACGGAGGGAGCUAGCGUUGUUCGGAAUUACUGGGCGUAAAGCGCGCGUAGGCGGUUACUCAAGUCAGAGGUGAAAGCCCGGGGCUCAACCCCGGAACUGCCUUUGAAACUAGGUGACUAGAAUCUUGGAGAGGUCAGUGGAAUUCCGAGUGUAGAGGUGAAAUUCGUAGAUAUUCGGAAGAACACCAGUGGCGAAGGCGACUGACUGGACAAGUAUUGACGCUGAGGUGCGAAAGCGUGGGGAGCAAACAGGAUUAGAUACCCCCGUAGUCCCUGUCUCUUAUAU